CCUACGGGGGGCUGCAGUAAGGAAUAUUGGUCAAUGGGCGGAAGCCUGAACCAGCCAUGCCGCGUGCAGGAAGACGGCCUUAUGGGUUGUAAACUGCUUUUGACGGGGAAAAAACGCCGAUACGUGUAUUGGUUUGCUUGUACCUGUUGAAUAAGCAUCGGCUAACUCCGUGCCAGCAGCCGCGGUAAUACGGAGGAUGCAAGCGUUAUCCGGAUUUAUUGGGUUUAAAGGGUGCGCAGGCGGACGAUUAAGUCAGUGGUGAAAUGCAACAGCUUAACUGUUGAACUGCCAUUGAUACUGAUUAUCUAGAGUACAGACGACGUUGGCGGAAUGCGACAUGUAGCGGUGAAAUGCUUAGAGAUGUCGCAGAACACCGAUUGCGAAGGCAGCUAACGAGGAUGUAACUGACGCUCAUGCACGAAAGCGUGGGGAUCAAACAGGAUUAGAUACCCCUGUAGUC
rnacentral:rRNA from 1 species